CCUACGGGAUGCAGCAGUGGGGAAUAUUGCACAAUGGGCGCAAGCCUGAUGCAGCCAUGCCGCGUGUGUGAAGAAGGCCUUCGGGUUGUAAAGCACUUUCAGCGGGGAGGAAGGCGAUAAGGUUAAUAACCUUGUCGAUUGACGUUACCCGCAGAAGAAGCACCGGCUAACUCCGUGCCAGCAGCCGCGGUAAUACGGAGGGUGCAAGCGUUAAACGGAAUCACUAGGCGUAAAGCGCACGCAGGCGGUCUGUCAAGUCGGAUGUGAAAUCCCCGGGCUCAACCUGGGAACUGCAUUCGAAACUGGCAGGCUAGAGUCUUGCAGAGGGGGGUAGAAUUCCAGGUGUAGCGGUGAAAUGCGUAGAGAUCUGGAGGAAUACCGGUGGCGAAGGCGGCCCCCUGGACAAAGACUGACGCUCAGGUGCGAAAGCGUGGGGAGCAAACAGGAUUAGAUACCCUAGUAGUC
rnacentral:rRNA from 1 species